rnacentral:rRNA from 1 species
GUUAACGAGGCGAACCGGGGGAACUGAAACAUCUAAGUACCCCGAGGAAAAGAAAUCAACCGAGAUUCCCCCAGUAGCGGCGAGCGAACGGGGAGCAGCCCGGAGUCUGAAUCAGCUUGUGUGUUAGUGGAACGGUCUGGAAAGUCCGACGGUACAGGGUGAUAGUCCCGUACACGAAAGCACACUUGCUGUGAACUCGAAGAGUAGGGCGGGACACGUGGUAUCCUGUCUGAAUAUGGGGGGACCAUCCUCCAAGGCUAAAUACUCCUGACUGACCGAUAGUGAACCAGUACCGUGAGGGAAAGGCGAAAAGAACCCCGGCGAGGGGAGUGAAAAAGAACCUGAAACCGUGUACGUACAAGCAGUGGGAGCCUCUUUAUGGGGUGACUGCGUACCUUUUGUAUAAUGGGUCAGCGACUUAUAUUCUGUAGCAAGGUUAACCGUAUAGGGGAGCCGAAGGGAAACCGAGUCUUAACUGGGCGUUAAGUUGCAGGGUAUAGACCCGAAACCCGGUGAUCUAGCCAUGGGCAGGUUGAAGGUUGGGUAACACUAACUGGAGGACCGAACCGACUAAUGUUGAAAAAUUAGCGGAUGACCUGUGGCUGGGGGUGAAAGGCCAAUCAAACCGGGAGAUAGCUGGUUCUCCCCGAAAGCUAUUUAGGUAGCGCCUCGUGAACUCAUCUUCGGGGGUAGAGCACUGUUUCGGCUAGGGGGCCAUCCCGGCUUACCAACCCGAUGCAAACUACGAAUACCGAAGAAUGUUAUCACGGGAGACACACGGCGGGUGCUAACGUCCGUCGUGAAGAGGGAAACAACCCAGACCGCCAGCUAAGGUCCCAAAGUCAUGGUUAAGUGGGAAACGAUGUGGGAAGGCACAGACAGCCAGGAUGUUGGCUUAGAAGCAGCCAUCAUUUAAAGAAAGCGUAAUAGCUCACUGGUCGAGUCGGCCUGCGCGGAAGAUGUAACGGGGCUAAACCAUGCACCGAAGCUGCGGCAGCGACACUAUGUGUUGUUGGGUAGGGGAGCGUUCUGUAAGCCGUUGAAGGUGUGCUGUGAGGCAUGCUGGAGGUAUCAGAAGUGCGAAUGCUGACAUAAGUAACGAUAAAGCGGGUGAAAAGCCCGCUCGCCGGAAGACCAAGGGUUCCUGUCCAACGUUAAUCGGGGCAGGGUGAGUCGACCCCUAAGGCGAGGCCGAAAGGCGUAGUCGAUGGGAAACAGGUUAAUAUUCCUGUACUUGGUGUUACUGCGAAGGGGGGACGGAGAAGGCUAUGUCAGCCGGGCGACGGUUGUCCCGGUUUAAGCAUGUAGGCGGAGGU